AUUGAACGCUGGCGGCAUGCCUAACACAUGCAAGUCGAGCGGAGCGGCGGACGGGUGCGUAAUACCUAGGAAUCUGCCUGGUAGUGGGGGCUAACGUUCGGAACCGGACGCUAAUACCGCAUACUAUCAGAUGAGCCUAGGUCGGAUUAGCUAGUUGGUGAGGUAAUGGCUCACCAAGGCUACGAGCCGUAACUGGUCUGAGAGGAUGAUCAGUCACACUGGAACUGAGACACGGUCCAGACUCCUACGGGAGGCAGCAGUGGGGAAUAUGGGACAAUGGGCGAAAGCCUGAUCCAGCCAUGCCGCGUGUGUGAAGAAGGGCUUCGGAUUGUAAAGCACUUUAAGUUGGGAGGCGUUACCGACAGAAUAAGCACCGGCUAACGAUGUGCCAGCAGCCGCGGUAAUUC
rnacentral:rRNA from 1 species